rnacentral:lncRNA from 1 species
CCAGGUUUCAGGCGGGUUAGAUGCUUGCCCCACACGCCAACCCCUAAGCAGAGAGACUGGAGUAUGCUACCGUGGAGUUAAAGUCUAACUCCUCUGCAGCACGGUGAGGUUCCAGAAUCACUCUCCUUGCAGUCAUAAAGCUAGGAAGUGCAAUGACCAGGCAUGUGGUCCUGACCUCAGACUGAGGAUCCUUGGCCUAGAGUCAAGCAGUUGCUGUAGUCACCGAAACAGCCAAAUUAACUGUCUGCUUAGCCAUGGAUUAAAAUUCAUCCACUGAUCCAAGACAAACUGGUUUCUACAUACAUUUGAUGCAACUAAGUUUUAUUAUUUGUCUCCUUAUGGAAGAAUGCAGAAGACGUGCUCAGCUAUAUUGAUCUCUGAGGAAAUGUGGAUGAGGUAGAUAAUGUGAAACCUUUUUGUCAUUACUAACAGUUAUAUAGGUUGUGGAAACUUUCAGUGUUUGGCUGACUAGAUAAGUUGAUGCACUCACAUUUAUUUGAUUGGAAAAGUAUGGGGAGUAAACUGUGUCACCCCAGUUUCUGUAAUGGAAUUGAUCUUUU